UACUGCUUGGACGGUUGGACUGUUGGGAAAUGAUUUUGUGCCUUGGAAACAACCAAAACACCUUCACCAAAAUUGAUUUGGGAAAGAGGAAGAAACAAGCCGUUUCACCUCUUCUCCCUCUCCAAAUCACACCCACAUCAAAAACCCCUCACCACAACUUCUAUCAUUUCUCUUCACUAAUCAAACCACCAUCACCCUCCAUCUUCAACCACAACCAUGAUGUGGGAACGUGAACACGAUGAACACCGUCACCACCACCACACCACCUCUCAAAAACCCGACCAAAUCCCUUACCCUAACUCCUAUCUCAACUUCGAUUUCUUCUCGCCCCUCUCCAAACACAAGAUCGAAAUCUCCGACAAAAUCUCUAUUUUCCGAUUUCUCUUUUCGAUAUCUUCGUGUGAUGACUCUCGGUUCCUCACGAAUCAUGGCUAAUAUUCCAUCCACAACUUCCAGUAAGCUUCUGUUCCUGCUCAACUCCUUGCACGAAGUCAACUUUUGACACAUAAAUCCCAAUCUGGUCCUUCGAGGCCUUAUGGAUUCUCAAAACAAUGAUGUAGGCAGCAUUGUGAGAAUUGUAGACAUCUGCUAAAACAUCUGCUACAUUCUUGAAGAUUCUACUUGGAUCAAUUGGUUUUUAUUCGUAUGAUGACUUCAUCAAAUUUCACUUUUAUUUGGGAUCUAGCUUUGUCAAAAUACAGGUUCUUAAAUCUUAUUUCGAGGAGCUCGAGAGUUUCCAUAUAUCUAUUAUAGAUUCAAAUCCAAGCCUUCAAAAUCGCAAGACUACCGCCGAUUCACCUACUUCUACACCAUUUCCAUCUGAUGUUGAGGAUAAAGCAAACCCGAUCUUCCAAGAGUUGCUUUCAUGAUAAGAUAUCCGUCCUUUCAGUAGUGCAAACACUAAUCCGAUUCAGUGAAUCUUCUGUGAAUAUUUGAGGAAUGAUUAUCUGUUCUCUCUGUUCUUAUGUUUCUGAUCUGAAAAACUAUUAUACUGUCUAUGGCUAAAUAUUAAUAUCCCAUCAAUGUUUGUCUAUUUUAACAGGGACAAUUUGAUUUCUGAAUGACGAUGAUUUUUAAUGCAGAUUACAUGAGAUAGACAAAGAGAAUGCUUUUUACGAAAAAUCAUUUUGGUUGAGCUUUGCAAAGGCUGUGUUUUUAUCAUUCAAGUUUAACUAUGCAAGGUGGUUGAGCUUUGCAAAGGUUGUGUUUUUAUCAUUUAGGUUGAACUAUGUAAAGUUUAUUUUUCUUCAUUUAUAACAAUUUUUCUUCAUUCAUAA